rnacentral:rRNA from 1 species
CCCAGACUCCUACGGGAGGCAGCAGUGAGGAAUAUUGGUCAAUGGCCGGAAGGCUGAACCAGCCAAGCCGCGUGAAGGACGAAGGUGCCAAGCAUUGUAAACUUCUUUUGUCAAGGGACAAAAUCAGGCUCGAGAGCCUGACCGAGGGUACUUGAAGAAAAAGCAUCGGCUAACUCCGUGCCAGCAGCCGCGGUAAUACGGAGGAUGCGAGCGUUAUCCGGAUUUAUUGGGUUUAAGGGGUGCGCAGGCGGGGGGUAAAGAGAGGGGAAAAAUUGGGGGCCACACCCCGGACGAGCCGUUGAAACUGGCUUGCUAGAGUGGGCGAGAAGUACGCGGAAUGCGUGGUGUAGCGGUGAAAUGCAUAGAUAUCACGCAGAACUCCGAUUGCGAAGGCAGCAUACCGGCGCCCAACUGACGCUCAGGCACGAAAGCGUGGGUAUCGAACAGGAUUAGAUACCCUCGUA